CUACGUCCUCAAAGAGAAACAAAUCCUACCGUGGACAGACUUUCCACCGUUUCGCCAAAGAGCAGGCACUUCGGCGUGAAUGAAUUAAUCACAUCAAGAGGGAUCCUGGUCCAUAUUUCAAGAUCAACGCUGAGACCGAGGUUUGAUCUGAGCACGUUGAGAAGCAAUGCUUUGUUAAGGUCACCCGUGGUAUGACAACGCUAAUAAAGGAUGCUGUGCCUGCCAACUUUGUUCGCCUGGACUUCAGAGAAGCCAAAGAGGAGAAUCAUCAUUCGCAUACCGUGUAUGGAUUCCAUGGAGUAUUCCAUCGAGUAUUUCUUCUGUUUCAAUCGUCUUGGUGAAGUUUUUGAGCUGGAUCUGGAUUCUGCUGAGGAUUCGUCGACUACUAGAUGGCGAGCCACCCACUCAUUCGAAUGUGAUCCUGUUCUACAUUGCGCAUGGCAUAUUUGGUAGGAUUGUGGCCUGCUCGUGUCACAUCACUGACUAUGACUGACUUCAACGCCUUGAACUGAACUGUUUGAAAGGAGCUAUUAUAUCUUUUUGAACAACUUAAAGGAACUCUCUACAUCGUCUCUUUUGAGGAUUUAAAGGACUAUUUCCAAUUUUUGAAGGACAAUUCAAUGUUUUUUUUUUUUUUUUUAA